rnacentral:rRNA from 1 species
AACGAACGCUGGCGGCAGGCUUAACACAUGCAAGUCGAGCGCCCCGCAAGGGGAGCGGCAGACGGGUGAGUAACGCGUGGGAACGUACCCUUUGCUACGGAAUAGCUCCGGGAAACUGGAAUUAAUACCGUAUGUGCCCUACGGGGGAAAGAUUUAUCGGCAAAGGAUCGGCCCGCGUUGGAUUAGGUAGUUGGGGAGGUAAUGGCCUACCAAGGCGACGAUCCAUAGCUGGUCUGAGAGGAUGAACAGCCACAUUGGGACUGAGACACGGCCCAAACUCCUAAGGGAGGGAGCAGUGGGGAAUAUUGGGCAAAGGGGGCAAGCCUUAUUCAGCCAUUGCGCGUUAGGGAUUAAAGCCUUUGGGUUGUAAAACCCUUUCACCGGAGAAGAUAAUGGCGGUAUCCGGAGAAGAAGCCCCGGCUAACUUCGUGCCAGCCGCCGCCGUAAGAC